rnacentral:rRNA from 1 species
GACGAACGCUGGCGGCGUGCCUAAUACAUGCAAGUCGAACGCAGUGGGGACGGGUGAGUAACACGUGGGUAACCUCCCAUCAGAGGGGAUAACACUUGGAAACAGGUGCUAAACCGAUACUGAUGGAUGGACCCGCGGUGCAUUAGCUAGUUGGUGAGGUAACGGCUCACCAAGGCCACGAUGCAUAGCCGACCUGAGAGGGUGAUCGGCCCCAUUGGGACUGGGCACCGGCCCAGCUUCCGACGGGAGGCAGCAUUAGGGAUUUUUCGGAAAGGACCGAAAGUCUGACCGAGCAACGCGGCGGGAGUGAAGAGGGUUUUCGGAUCGUAAGCCUCUGUUGUUAGAGAAGCGGUAUCUAACCAGAAAGCCACGGCUAACUACGUGCCAGCAGCCGCGGUAAUUC